rnacentral:rRNA from 1 species
GACGAACGCUGGCGGCGUGCUUAACACAUGCAAGUCGAACGGUGAAGCGCCUUCCUUUUUGGUGGGUGUGGAUGAGUGGCGAACGGGUGAGUAACACGUGAGUAACCUGCCCCCUUCUUCUGGAUAACCGCAUGAAAGUGUGGCUAAUACGGGAUAUUCUGGGUCUGUCGCAUGAUGGGUCUGGGAAAGAUAUUGUUUCGGUGGGGGAUGGGCUCGCGGCCUAUCAGCUUGUUGGUGGGGUGAUGGCCUACCAAGGCGGUGACGGGUAGCCGGCCUGAGAGGGUGGAGGGUCACCCUGGGACGGGGACCCGGCCCAGACUCCUACGGGGGGCAGCCGUGGGGAAUUUUGCGAAAUGGGCGAAAGCCGGAUGCAGCGACGCCGGGUGGGGGAGGGGGCCCUUCGGGUUGGGAACCCUUUUCGCCAGGGAAGCAGCCCUGCCUCGUUUGUGGGUGGGUGGACGGUAGCUGGAUAAGAAGCCCCGGCUAACUACGU